rnacentral:rRNA from 1 species
UACAGAGGUCUCAAGCGUUGUUCGGAUUCAUUGGGCGUAAAGGGUGCGUAGGCGGCGCGGUAAGUCGGGUGUGAAAUCUCGGAGCUUAACUCCGAAACUGCAUUCGAUACUGCCGUGCUUGUGGACUGGAGAGGAGACUGGAAUUUACGGUGUAGCGGUGAAAUGCGUAGAUAUCGUAAGGAAGACCAGUGGCGAAGGCGGGUCUCUGGACAGUUCCUGACGCUGAGGCACGAAGGUCAGGGGAGCAAACGGG